rnacentral:lncRNA from 1 species
GAUGAAGAAAUUGAAGAUGCUGAACAAGACUGAGAUGUUAGCUUUGUAGAAGUGGCGUUGGUUCUGAAAACAGAAACUCAGUAAAAAUCAGUAUUUGUAUCUUUAUUAUCUGUAGUGUAUUCGAAGGUUCUAUAUAAUGUUUAAUUGACAUUGCUGCUGAAAGCCUCUAAUUGACAAAUGACUCAAGUUUGAUGCUCUACAAGAUUCUCUAUUUUUCUAAUCUUUUUAAUUAAGAGCAU